GAUCAUGGCUCAGAACGAACGCUGGCGGCGCGUCUUAAGCAUGCAAGUCGAACGGCAAGAGGUAGCAAUACCUCCUAGAGUGGCGGACUGGUGAGUAACACGUGGGUGACAUACCCUUCAGAUGGGGAUAGCUAUUAGAAAUAGUAGAUAAUACCGAAUACGAGCACAGGGGUUAGAGAUCUGUGAGGAAAGGAGCUAAGGCUCCGCUGAAGGAAUGGCCUGCGGCCCAUUAGCUAGUUGGUGAGGUAAGAGCCCACCAAGGCGAUGAUGGGUAUCCGGCCUUAGAGGGUGAACGGACACAUUGGGACUGAGAUACGGCCCAGACUCCUACGGGAGGCAGCAGCUAAGAAUAUUCCGCAAUGGACGAAAGUCUGACGGAGCGACGCCGCGUGGAUGAAGAAGGCCGGAAGGUUGUAAAAUCCUUUUGAAACUGAAGAAUAAGCGUUGUAGGGAAUGACAGCGUGGUGACAGUAGGUUUUGAAUAAGCAACGGCUAAUUACGUGCCAGCAGCCGC
rnacentral:rRNA from 1 species